GAUUAGUUCAAAAAAUUGGCUUCUUUAUUUACAAAGAAUGUCUAGUUCUUCGAAACUUCUUCAAAAUUCGUCUACCGGUUCCGGGGAAAAUACCAGGAAUCUAGUUUGCUAUUGCAACGCACUUGCCGUUAUUCGGACCGCUAAAAAUGGGUCAAUGCUGGCAAGCAAUUUUUUGGGUGUCCAAAUUGGCCUGGUACUAGUGCAUGUAAAUUUUUCGAGUGGGUAAUGAAAGGAGGUUGCAUUAAAAAAAUACCAAUGUAUAAUGAUCUUGAAGUUAGAAUUCUAGAGAAAGAUGUUGAGAUAGCUGAGUUGGAGAUGAAGAAACGUUAUUUGGAGGAAAAAAUUAAAAAACAACAUAUGAAGAAAGAAAGUGCAGAAGAAGAGUUGCAAGAGAUAAAGAACGAGCUUUGUCAUACGAGAAUCGAAUUAAUGAAUUGUGCCCGUUCUGAGAAAAAUCUGUCCACGGUGUUGGUGAUAUCGUGGAUUAUGUUUGGUGUCCUAGCCUUGUUGUUGAGGUAGUGUGUUAGCCUUAUGGGAUAGUUGGUCUAAAUCCAUAGUUGAAUCAUGUACCGUUUCACUGUUGUAUGGUGGAUAUUAAGUAUUUUAAGUAUUUUAAGUAUCACGGUUGUAUUGUUGUAUGGUUAAUUCUAAGUAUGUUAUUAGGAUUGCUUUUGGUAACAA